UACGUAGGGUCCAAGCGUUAUCCGGAAUCACUGGGCGUAAAGCGUGCGUAGGUGGCGUGUUAAGUGUGAUGUUAAAUCGUGGGGCUCAACCCUGUCGUUGCAUCACAUACUGGCAUGCUAGAGGACAGCAGAGGCAAGUGGAAUUUGUAGUGUAGCAGUGAAAUGCGUAGAUAUUACAAGGAACACCAAUGGCGAAGGCAGCUUGCUGGGCUACUCCUGACACUGAGGUACGAAAGCGUGGGGAGCGAACAGG
rnacentral:rRNA from 1 species